UGUGUGUGUGUGUGUUGUGUGUGAGAGAGACAGACAGACAGACAGACAGAGAGACAGACAGACUGUGUGUUUGUGUUAUAUGCAAGGCUACUUUUUUCAUUAACCUCCUUUACAAGAUCCUAAAUCGCACCUGUUUGGUUUUUAAGAGAAUUGCAAUGUUGGGUUUCAUGCAUGAAAGGUCUGAAUCUGCUUGGGUUGGUACAGCUUCCGUCCCGGUCUGCUUUAUAUGGACUGUGUUGGUUUCCGUCCGUCUGUCGUGAACAGCUGCCUUCUCAUUUGUUCCUACACAGAAAGUAUCCGGCCCCAAAGUCUCUAUUUCUCUGAUCACCUUGUUUUAUGAAUGCUGUAAAUUGUUUUUAUGAAUGAAAAAUAAAGUUGUAUACGCAAUUGUUCUGAAAUUAAAAACUUACAGUUU
rnacentral:lncRNA from 1 species